CGCAUCGUUGUGCGCGGGGAGGACGGGCUAGGACGUCGACGAGCGUAUGGAGGCAGGGCUCCGCCAGAGCGGCAAUUUUGCCUCGUCACCGAAUGGAAGGAGGACUACGAGGGGCCUUCUUCUACACGUUCUUAUUAAUCUCAGGUUUGCAUCUGGACAUCCUCUUCUUCUCCUUUCUGCUUGAUAUCUCGUUCAGAUCUGAGGAGCUCAUGGUCUUCUUUGUGUUUUGGAGAGGUUGGGGGUAUGGCUGCUGCAGAUACGGGCUUUCCUUGAAGGGAUGCUUUUUUUCCUUUUGGUUUUACACAUAUGGAGUAAGGUUCUCCUAUUUCCGCCGGAGAUGCCACGCAUUAGCACAGAGCACAUUUGUACAGGGGUUAUUUCUGGAGGAGGUCUGUGACUACUACAGUAGUUUGCGUUCUGAAUUUUUGCAGUGCUGACAAGAAGAGUCUAACUAUGAAAGAGUUAUCAGAUCUCCAAGAAGUGAUGAAUGGCAAAGAAUUGUUCGUUUACACCGAUAUUUAUCAGAUAUUGUUAGAAGAUGAAGCUAGAUAUUACUAGACUUCUAUUUUGGGAUUCUAGAUCUGUCCCAGAUGACAAUCGUUUAAUCAACUUGUGCACAGUUUGUGGUUCAUCAUACCAUGGUAAGGUCCUUAUUUUCUGGUUCAAUCAACUUCAGCAUGUGGAUCAUGAUCUGUUUCAACAAUAUACUUCCAUCCUCUAUGAUCAUUUUUAUAUUGAUGUUUGGUGAGAGGAAUCAUGAUCUGUUGCAUGUUAGUCCAUUAACAUGUGCUGCAGCCUGGAGGGCCCCUCUAUUCUGUUAGCUAAAUAUUACGGUGCUUAUAAAAUAAAGAAAGUAAUAUGUAAAUAGCAUAGGGAAACCUGAAAUUUCUCCCAGAGAUAACAUCCAACUGUUUUUGUUAUUUUCCGCUCGAUAGUCUGUUUGUACUAUGGAUUGAUCUGUACGGAAGGCUUGAUCGCUAGCAUCGCUGCUGCUCCUCCUCUUUGCCCUCUUUGGCAUUGAGUAAGAGGAGCACGUGCUGCCUCCAAACCUCAUCAGAGGGGAUGACGCCUCGGCUGCCGGCAUAGAGAAUAACGAAGAUAAUGUGUUUUCUCACUAUAAGUCUACUAAACUUGAGAGUCUUUGGUUCAGUUUAGCCGAUGGCCUUUCUGAAUGUGCCUCCAUGGAUGGAGCUGUGUUGAUGGCGCUGUUGGAUACAUGAAUGAAGUACUAUCUGAAGACUGGAACAUGCAAGUUUGGGGCUACAUGUAAAUUCCAUCAUCCCAGCGAAAAGGCUGGAAUCUAGGGAAUGGCGCAGCUAAACACGUUGGGAUACUCACUUUGACCGAUUGUGUGUUGAAGCUCCUCCAGACGGCAUCCUCCUGCAGCAAAUCCUGGUUUUUUGAUGAAUCUGUUGUUCCUUAGAUCAUGGUUAUGGGGUUGAUGCUUUCCAGCAUUGCCAGUUCAGCUAUACCAGCCAUUAGUCUCAAGCCAUACAUUUUUGAAUCCUGGACAACCAACUGCAAUGGAGGCCAUGCAAGGAAGUAAACCAUGAACACACUCUUUCACAACUGUCAAGCUUGCUGGUACAGACGCCCCACCUCCUAUCUCAAUAGUUUUGUGCUCCAAACAGGGAUUGAGCACUUCACCCAACCACUCUUCUUCUCCUACUUUUUUCAUCUCUGGGUGAUCACUUCUAAGAUAACGAACACUAUGUUCUAAAAAGUACAGAGCCAUGUGUUCAAAUCUGAAACACGGUGGAAGAUUUAGGAGCAGGCUUGUAGUCUCUACAAACAUACUCUGAUGCAUAUCUGUAAUCGAAGAAGCCAGUAACAUGAAGACUCGGGCUUUGUCACACAUCAUUACUGUUGUGUCUAGGUGAUUUCAUACCUGCCUAAUUAUGCAUACGAUUUUCCAGCUAAUCAUCCAUUUCAAUAAAGGGAGCGAUUGUACCCACCUGAGCUACACUGCCAGGGAUCAGUUAUGGACCCUUGCUCAGGAAACUCAGAGGAUAAUCAAGAUUCCUUUUUGAAUAUUACUCAAUCUUAUACUAGAAGAACUUGGUGUUUCAAAGGAUGAAUUCCAUCUUGAGCUAUGCGAAUAUAUCUAAGUUUGUGUGACUGUCCUGUUUAACACCUCUGCGCUAGCAGCGGAGUGUUCUCCUCUGUAUCUCGAUGUUUGUAAUAAAGUCAAAAGAACUAUGAAACAGCGGGGGAUUCUUCAUGUGUAAAAGCUGUCAAAUAUGUUGACCUGGCGACAAAUACAAUCAUCAUAAGCUUCGUAUGGACUUUGUCAAUAAGCAUUUGCUACUCCGUUUGUGAUUC